rnacentral:lncRNA from 1 species
GAGAGAGCGGGACGCGGCCGAGUGAGAGAGAGGGGAAUGGAGAAAGAGAGAGCGAUAGAGAGAGAGAGAGAGAGGAAGGAGGAGGGGAACACGGGAGCUCGGCCUGUAGUCGGCGUGAGACCAGUGGGGGAAACAGAGCGUUUGGAAAGCCCGCCCCAAGGACACGAGAGGGCGGAGGAGGCGAGAGUAAGCGAAAAGAUAUCCUUGAAUUCCCUUCUCUAUUACUUUUUCAUCUCACGCCAUCGCCACAGUGUCUCUCCAGAGGUGAGACGAUCAACACGGCAUACUCUACGUCUCUUUUUUUACGCGCAAACAUGAAUGCCUCUGCCCUUUCUCGCGGACGUAGAUGCCAGCGGACACAAGGGUAAAGCUAUAAGGAAAGAAAAUAAGAAAUAUAAA